GGGUAGCUCAGUUGGCAGAGCGAUUCACUCGUAAUGAAUAGGUCAGGGGUUCGAUUCCCCUCUC
rnacentral:tRNA from 1 species